rnacentral:rRNA from 1 species
UACGAAGGGGGCUAGCGUUGUUCGGAUUUACUGGGCGUAAAGCGCACGUAGGCGGUCUUUUAAGUCGGGGGUGAAAUCCUGGAGCUCAACUCCAGAACUGCCCUCGAUACUGAAAGACUUGAGUCCGGGAGAGGUGAGUGGAACUGCGAGUGUAGAGGUGAAAUUCGUAGAUAUUCGCAAGAACACCAGUGGCGAAGGCGGCUCACUGGCCCGGUACUGACGCUGAGGUGCGAAAGCGUGGGGAGCAAACAGG